rnacentral:rRNA from 1 species
UACAGAGGUCUCAAGCGUUGUUCGGAUUCAUUGGGCGUAAAGGGUGCGUAGGUGGCGCCGUAAGUCAGGUGUGAAAUUUCGGAGCUUAACUCCGAAACUGCAUUUGAUACUGCGGUGCUUGAGGACUGGAGAGGAGACUGGAAUUCACGGUGUAGCAGUGAAAUGCGUAGAUAUCGUGAGGAAGACCAGUGGCGAAGGCGGGUCUCUGGACAGUUCCUGACACUGAGGCAGCGAAG